rnacentral:other from 3 species
UAAGUCCUGAUGUGUUCGUUAAUUUCCCUAUAAGUUUUGACCGAACAUUUCUAUUUUUGGGAGUUCGGAGUUUUCAAGUGGCAUACAUGCCUUUUUAAAAGGAAGUAUAAAAUUUGGAACAGAACACCCACCUGCUGAGUGCGGGUUCAAAACACUAGGAUAUUAGAAUAACGGCAUGAUCGGGACUUAU